rnacentral:tRNA from 1 species
UCAAGAAGUGAAUUUAAUCACUAUUCCCAAAGUCAAAAUUUGGAGUCAUUCAAUAGACUAUCUUGAA